UUGGUGCUUGCAUCAUGAUUUACAUUUGAGUGAGUGGCGAACUGGUGAGUAACACGUGGGAAACCUGCCCAGAAGCGGGGGAUAACACCUGGAAACAGAUGCUAAUACCGCAUAACAACUUGGACCGCAUGGUCCGAGCUUGAAAGAUGGCUUCGGCUAUCACUUUUGGAUGGUCCCGCGGCGUAUUAGCUAGAUGGUGGGGUAACGGCUCACCAUGGCAAUGAUACGUAGCCGACCUGAGAGGGUAAUCGGCCACAUUGGGACUGAGACACGGCCCAAACUCCUACGGGAGGCAGCAGUAGGGAAUCUUCCACAAUGGACGAAAGUCUGAUGGAGCAACGCCGCGUGAGUGAAGAAGGGUUUCGGCUCGUAAAACUCUGUUGUUAAAGAAGAACAUAUCUGAGAGUAACUGUUCAGGUAUUGACGGUAUUUAACCAGAAAGCCACGGCUAACUACGUGCCAGCAGCCGCGGUAAUACGUAGGUGGCAAGCGUUGUCCGGAUUUAUUGGGCGUAAAGCGAGCGCAGGCGGUUUUUUAAGUCUGAUGUGAAAGCCUUCGGCUCAACCGAAGAAGUGCAUCGGAAACUGGAAAACUUGAGUGCAGAAGAGGACAGUGGAACUCCAUGUGUAGCGGUGAAAUGCGUAGAUAUAUGGAAGAACACCAGUGGCGAAGGCGGCUGUCUGGUCUGUAACUGACGCUGAGGCUCGAAAGUAUGGGUAGCAAACAGGAUUAGAUACCCUGGUAGUCCAUACCGUAAACGAUGAAUGCUAAGUGUUGGAGGGUUUCCGCCCUUCAGUGCUGCAGCUAACGCAUUAAGCAUUCCGCCUGGGGAGUACGGCCGCAAGGCUGAAACUCAAAGGAAUUGACGGGGGCCCGCACAAGCGGUGGAGCAUGUGGUUUAAUUCGAAGCUACGCGAAGAACCUUACCAGGUCUUGACAUACUAUGCAAAUCUAAGAGAUUAGACGU
rnacentral:rRNA from 1 species